rnacentral:lncRNA from 1 species
AAAUAUUUUUUAUAUCAAUAUCUCAUUAAAAUUGUGUAUGUAUAUCAAAGUUAUGUAUAAAUGUAAAUAUAUUUAUAGGUACAUAUAAUUUUGUAAAAAAAACAAUUUAAAAUUAAAAAAAAAAAGUGUUCUCUACUCCCUUUUUAUUUACAGUAUUUUGUAUGCCAAAUUACACAAAAAUAUAUGAUGUAGUAGGUAGGCCAAUUCUUGCAUUUAUGCAGUGAGUGUGAGGCAACACUGAUGCAUUCCAGCUACAUUGGGACCUCUCCUUCAUUCUUUAAGGCAGAGUGAGUUAGUAGCAACAAAUUUAUCAGCAGAGUGACUUUGAUCUAAAGUUGUUUCCAUCAAACACUGAUAGCAUCAUCAAUGCAUCACUUGAAAGUUCAAGAUAUUGAUCAAAGUCAGAACAUCCUAUAAUUGAACUUGCACUCCAUGGAUGGGGUUGAACAUGUGCAGCAUUCUUGUAUUUAUCAAAUGUCCAUUUAAUUAUCUGAAUAGGAACACAAAACACAAUUUAGCUUUAAAAAUAUGGUAAUCAUGAACCAAGAAGACCUUUUAUUCAAGGUACACUAGUUGGUAAAUUUAUGAAAACCAACCAAAGACCACACCUGGGAUGAAUAAGAGCUAACAGCUCCAGAAGCCAAAGAAUAACAGAAGCAACUGCACACAUGCCUGCCUCCAAAGCAUCCAAUCCAGUAGUUCAAAGACUAGCGGACUGCAGAACCAAUUACUCUUCUCUGCUCUUUAGCUCUAUCAUAGGAUCCUUUUCAGCUUUCUCACAUCUGAAUCAGAAUCCAUGAAUAAUCCAACUAACUGAUAAGGUGGAGAAGAAUCCAAUUCCAUUUUGACUAGCAUGCAAAAUAUAUAUCCCAAUGCAUUUUCUCUGACAUUGAUUAGUGUUGUAGGCUUGCUGCAAUUUUGCCCCUCUCCCAUCCCAUGGGAUAGCCAGCAAGGGGCGAAGAAGUGAUUAAAGUAGGCCAAAAUAAAUCAGUGAGGGCACAUUAUUAUGUAGAGGACCUUUCCUCAAUAUGAUAAGUGAACUGCCAAAAACUGAAGAAAUAACCUUGGGGUCCUGAUACUCAUGUCAGGCAAAGUUUCCUCUUAUGUUCGUGGGAAUUGGGAAGGUAUUGGACCUUUUUCAUGGCUAAUGACUGCGAACCUCUUUAUUGUUACUGGCAGCUGUCUCAGGCUUCAAAGCAUUGAUAUUCAACAUCUUUGUGCAUGCCAGCUUCAAAGCAUUGAGAUUCAACAUAUUUAAUGCAUGCAGUACUAGUGCAAAAGGUUGGGAAUAAUAAUCAUUCAUUGAUUUACUCUUCAUAAGAUGAUUGUCUGAAGAUAAUUUGUGAUGUCCCUUUGCUGUUUACUGAGAUCAAGAAG